ACUCAAAUGAAUUGACGGGGGCCCGCACAAGCGGUGGAGUAUGUGGUUUAAUUCGAUGAUACGCGAGGAACCUUACCAGGGUUUGACAUUGCAGAUGAGUUAUGAGAGAUCAUGACGCCCUUAUGGGGUCUGUAACAGGUGCUGCAUGGCUGUCGUCAGCUCGUGCCGUGAGGUGUUGGGUUAAGUCCCGCAACGAGCGCAACCCUUAUGUCUAGUUACCAGCAGGCGAGCUGGGGACUCUAGACAGACUGCCGGUGACAAACCGGAGGAAGGUGGGGAUGACGUCAAGUCCUCAUGGCCCUUAUGUCCUGGGCUACACACGUACUACAAUGGCCGGUACAAAGCGAAGCGAAACCGCGAGGUGGAGCAAACCGCAGAAAGCCGGUCUCAGUUCAGAUUGGAGUCUGAAACCCGACUCCAUGAAGGUGGAAUCGCUAGUAAUCGCGCAUCAGCAUGGCGCGGUGAAUACGUUCCCGGGCCUUGUACACACCGCCCGU
rnacentral:rRNA from 1 species